GACGAACGCUGGCGGCGUGCUUAACACAUGCAAGUCGAACGGAAAGGCCUGCUUUCCCUUGUGGAUUGCGGGUACUCGAGUGGCGAACGGGUGAGUAACACGUGAGUGAUCUGCCCCCAACUUGGGUAUAAGCCUGGGAAACUGGGUCUAAUUCCCGAUAGGACUGCAGGGUGGUGCCUGUGGUGGAAAACGAUUUUCUAGUGGUUGGGGACGAGCUCGCGGCCUAUCAGCUUGUUGGUGGGGUAAUGGCCUACCAAGGCGGCGACGGGUAGCCGGCCUGAGAGGAUGGACGGCCACAUUGGGACUGAGAUACGGCCCAGACUCCUACGGGCGGCAGCAGUGGGGAAUAGUGCACAAUGGGCGGAAGCCUGAUGCAGCGACGCCGCGUGGGGGAUGACGGCCUUCGGGUUGUAAACUCCUUUCGACCGCGAGGAAGCCACCUGGUUGGAAGGGUGGUGACGGUAGUGGUAGAAGAAGCACCGGCUAACUACGUG
rnacentral:rRNA from 1 species